rnacentral:rRNA from 1 species
GGCGAUCUUAUUGGGCCUAAAGCGUCCGUAGCUGGGUCUGAAAGUCCAUCGGGAAAUCCACUCGCUCAACGAGUGGUCGUCCGGUGGAAACUCCACACCUUGGGACCGGAAGGCUCGAAGGGUACGGCCGGGGUAGGAGUGAAAUCCUGUAAUCCCGUCCGGACCACCGAUGGCGAAAGCACUUCGAGAAAACGGAUCCGACAGUGAGGGACGAAAGCUAAGAUCGCGAAC